rnacentral:rRNA from 1 species
AUGCUUUAUUUGUUGGUAACUAUAGGUAAAUUCCUUUUUUGCUUGAUUGCUAGAUUUUAUGAACUUUCCCCAUGGUGUAAGAAAGAAAAUCCUUUUAUUAGCUUUGGAAUGUUACAUUUUGAUUUAAUUGCUUUGCUGAAUGUAUGCACAAAAAGAAUUUCAGUUUCUCAGUGUCAGCAGGGAAGGUCUCAGUUGGUGGCACAUUUCUUUAACAGGUUCAUGGAUACUUAUUUUCCCGUUGCAACGCACGGGCACAUUUCUGGUCGUCCGUUGUGGCAGUUUUGCAAAAGCGUCCCCGCGUUUCUUCGAAAUCAACCCGCGGUCCUAUUUUAA